rnacentral:hammerhead_ribozyme from 1 species
AUCCAGCUGGCGAGUCCCAAACAGGACGAAAUGCGCACCCUGGAU